GACGAACGCUGGCGGCGUGCUUAACACAUGCAAGUCGAGCGAGGCCCCUCCUUCGGGAGGGUGCCCUAGCGGCGAACGGGUGAGUAACACGUGGGCAACCUGCCUCUAGCUCUGGGAUAACCCCGGGAAACCGGGGCUAAUACCGGAUACGACCCGGGGCGACAUCGUCUCGGGUGGAAAGAUUUAUCGGCUAGAGAUGGGCCCGCGGCCUAUCAGCUUGUUGGCGGGGUGACGGCCCACCAAGGCGACGACGGGUAGCCGGCCUGAGAGGGCGAUC
rnacentral:rRNA from 1 species